CCUACGGGAGACAGCAGUGAGGAAUAUUGGUCAAUGGGCGCGAGCCUGAACCAGCCAAGUCGCGUGAGGGAGGACGGCCCUACGGGUUGUAAACCUCUUUUGCCGGGGAGCAACGGGCGUCACGUGUGGCGCCACUGAGAGUACCCGGAGAAAAAGCAUCGGCUAACUCCGUGCCAGCAGCCGCGGUAAUACGGAGGAUGCGAGCGUUAUCCGGAUUCAUUGGGUUUAAAGGGUGCGCAGGCGGGCCUUUAAGCCGGCGGUGAAAUCGCGGGGCUCAACCCCGCCGAGCCGUCGGAACUGGGGGCCUUGAGUGCGGCGGAGGCAUGCGGAAUGCGCGGUGUAGCGGUGAAAUGCAUAGAUAUCGCGCAGAACCCCGAUUGCGAAGGCAGCGUGCCGUGCCGCCACUGACGCUGAGGCACGAAAGCGCGGGGAUCGAACAGGAUUAGAUACCCUGGUAGUC
rnacentral:rRNA from 1 species